GAUGAACGCUGGCGGCGUGCUUAACACAUGCCAGUCGAACGAGAAGUGAAGACGGAAACCUUCGGGCGGAAGGCUUUAUUUCGAGUGGCGGACGGGUGAGUAACGCGUGGGUAACCUGCCUCAUACAGGGGGAUAACAGUUGGAAACGACUGUUAAUACCGCAUAAGACCACAGCACCGCAUGGUGCGGGGGUAAAAACUCCGGUGGUAUGAGAUGGACCCGCGUUCGAUUAGCCAGUUGGCGGGGUAACGGCCCACCAAAGCGACGAUCGAUAGCCGAUCUGAGAGGAUGACCGACCACAUUGGGACUGAGACACGGCCCAAACUCCUACGGGAGGCAGCAGUGGGGAAUAUUGCACAAUGGGGGAAACCCUGAUGCAGCGACGCCGCGUGAGUGAAGAAGUAUUUCGGGAUGUAAAGCUCUAUCAGCAGGGAAGAAAAUGACGGUACCUGAGUAAGAAGCCCCGGCUAACUACGUG
rnacentral:rRNA from 1 species